rnacentral:rRNA from 1 species
AGUGAACGCUGGCGGUAGGCCUAACACAUGCAAGUCGAACGGCAGCACAGUAAGAGCUUGCUCUUACGGGUGGCGAGUGGCGGACGGGUGAGGAAUACAUCGGAAUCUACUUUUUCGUGGGGGAUAACGUAGGGAAACUUACGCUAAUACCGCAUACGACCUACGGGUGAAAGUAGGGGAUCUUCGGACCUUGCGCGAUUGAAUGAGCCGAUGUCGGAUUAGCUAGUUGGCGGGGUAAAGGCCCACCAAGGCGACGAUCCGAAGCUGGUCUGAGAGGAUGAUCAGCCACACUGGAACUGAGACACGGUCCAGACUCCUACGGGAGGCAGCAGUGGGGAAUAUUGGACAAUGGGCGCAAGCCUGAUCCAGCCAUACCGCGUGGGUGAAGAAGGCCUUCGGUUUGUAAAGCCCUUUUGUUGGGAAAGAAAAGCAGCAGGUUAAUACCCCGCUGUUCUGACGGUACCCAAAGAAUAAGCACCGGCUAACUUCGUG